rnacentral:lncRNA from 1 species
AAUACUUGUAGAGAUCUCUAUCUGGAUUGGAUUUGACAUUGAGGCGUCCCCCAACGAUAAUCACAAUUCAGACUUCAUGAGACGGAUUUGAGUAUCACUGAUCAAUGGAUCAGGUUGUGCCAAUCUCGCUUUCUUCCUAGUGCGAGAAUAUAUCGAACCUAAGGGCCUCCCUCCUUUUAGGGAGCCACACGGCCUUGUGACACCAAUUUUGCCACUAUAUGGCGUCACCAUAUCACCAUCCAUGGUGAUGGCGCCAAGACCAACUUCUUUUGGUCGCGCCAUGUCCAUUUGUAGGACAUCAAUCCUUGCAGACAUAUUUGCAGCAUGUGAUCUCGUCACUUUAACACUAUAAGCAUUUGGGAUCAAGAUGAGACUUAGUGGGGACAAACCACGACAAUUCACGUCGUUCCACUUGAACACUUGUGUUCUUAUCUCCCCCUAACGGCGGGAAUAUUGUCUCAUCAAAGUGACAAUCCGCAAUUUAGCGGUGAAUGAGAUCGCUUGACAAGGUUUCUACAUAUACGGAUUAUAGGUGGAGGUUCAUAUCCAACCUAAACUUAUUCAUCUCAAAUGACCAAUCAUUGUACGCAAUGGCAAUGCGAUUUGGCAUCUAUAAAUAACAUCUAGCCGAGCUCAAGGAUUGGAGAUCCGUUUCAAUCUUGCCGAGCUCAAGGAUUACAAUUUCGUGUCAAUCUUGGUACACAGUCACGAGCUGUAGUACAACAAAAUUCAAUGAUGGUGGGUCGUAGAUGAAUAGUAAAGCUGCAUGCAAAUAUUGCAUAGCCCCAAGACGCAAUAGAAAGAGUGGUGCGCAUCAAUAAUGUUCGAGCGACAAGCUAAAGUUGCUUGGUCGUAGCCUCGAUGAGACCGUAUUGCGUGUGAACAUGGGGCACAGGACACUUCAACUUACAUCCCGAUCAACUUCUUUAAAAAAUGGGUAGUGAGCCCGUAGAAGUAUAAGUAGCAUAAGCAGUAGAUAAUAGUGUAACACGUGACCAGUGUGUUAACACUUCAACCAACACCAUAAAGCAUAAAAAGGUGUCCGCAAGUUGGUUGUAUCUAUCUACAUAGUUUGAUGUAAGAAUAGAAUGUUCACUUUUGUGUUAUUUAGCGUAGGAGGGUCUCACUCCUUAUUUAGCUAAAGAAUAGGCUUUCAAAACGAGCAAUGAGCAUUGCAGGGGGCCAAUGCGACAUCGAGAAAAGGCCGGUGCACCUCAAUUGCUUGAGGAAUUGACCGGACGACCUCCAGGAAGUUAGAGUCGUGUUCGGGUGACCUCAAUGUCCCCCGGGUCACCACCAUGCUUCAUGGUGAUGCUAGAUCUCGAAUGUCUUCGUUUUGAGCGGAAGAAUGGAUGUCCAUGAGAUUUUCUCAAAAUUUGGACCAUUAUAUCUCUU